rnacentral:rRNA from 1 species
AUUGAACGCUGGCGGCAUGCCUUACACAUGCAAGUCGAACGGCAGCGGGGACUUCGGUCCGCCGGCGAGUGGCGAACGGGUGAGUAAUGUAUCGGAACGUACCAUUCAGUGGGGGAUAACUAUCCGAAAGGAUAGCUAAUACCGCAUAUUCUGUGAGCAGGAAAGCAGGGGAUCGCAAGACCUUGCGCUGAUUGAGCAGCCGAUAUCAGAUUAGCUAGUUGGUGAGGUAAAGGCUCACCAAGGCGACGAUCUGUAGCGGGUCUGAGAGGAUGAUCCGCAAAACUGGAACUGAGACACGGUCCAGACUCCUACGGGAGGCAGCAGUGGGGAAUUUUGGACAAUGGGGGCAACCCUGAUUCAGCCAUGCCGCGUGAGUGGAGAAGGCCUUCGGGUUGUAAAGCUCUUUCGGCCGGGAAAAAAUCGCAUGGGUUAAUACCCUGUGUGGAUGAUGGUACCGGAAUAAGAAGCACCGGCUAACUACGUGCCAGCAGCCGCAGUAA